rnacentral:sRNA from 1 species
UAAAAUUAACUCAUAAACCACACACGUACCGACACAUAGUGCGGGGUGCCCUUCGGGGUCGGGCUAUGGAGUACGUGGAGGCUUAAC